GUUGGUGUUCCAGUUUUAACUAAACCAUUCGACAUGAAGGCAGGUUUCUGUUUGAUUCUAAUUGCUUCGGCAAAUUUUGGCUUAGUUUUCUGUUCAUGCAAUUUGGGGCUUGGACGCAAACAGCCAGAUCAAGUUCCAGUUCACGAACUACACCAACGUAUUGUGGGCCUACGAGGAGAAGAAAAUCUAACAAUUUUGUUUCGAUAUAUUCCAUCGAAAAAUGUGGACAACGUCAAUCUAACCUACGUGCAAUUUUAUGUGGAUCUUGAGCAGUGCAGCUUCGACGUUCAAACCCCGCUUGGAAUGCACCGCGGGUUUCAGGUGCAAUUCUACAGUCCCGGGCCGGUGCAGGAGAUUGUGGGGAAUGCCACCGUUUACGGAGUGCCAAUUGAGUGAAUGUUUGAAUUUUUUAAAACGAUUCUCGAAUUAAAGUUAUGUUGAACUGAAGGAGGUAUUCAA